GACUUAUGGUACAAUGCACCUGGCCCGCGGCCCAUUAGGCCUGUGAGUGCCGGCGCGCGUUUACCAUCCUUCUGGGAAACAGGUCUACCAUUAACUUGGUUGGAUUUGUGAUCCAGAUCUUUUACUUUGAAAAAAUUAGAGUGUUUAAAGCAGGCUUUUGCCAUGAAUACAUUAGCAUGGAAUAAUAAUCUAGGACUUCGGUUCUAUUUUGUUGGUUUCUAUAACUGAAGUAAUGAUUGAUAGGGAUAGUUGGGGGUGCUAGUAUUGGCCGGUCAGAGGUGAAAUUCUUGGAUUCGGUCAAGACUAACUUAUGCGAAAGCAUU
rnacentral:rRNA from 1 species